GCUGGGGUGGCUCAGUGGUAGAGCACUUGCCUAGCACAUGAGAGGCAUUGGGUUCCAUCCCCAGUG
rnacentral:tRNA from 1 species